rnacentral:rRNA from 1 species
GAUGAACGCUGGCGGCGUGCCUAAUACAUGCAAGUCGAGCGAACGGACGAGAAGCUUGCUUCUCUGAUGUUAGCGGCGGACGGGUGAGUAACACGUGGAUAACCUACCUAUAAGACUGGGAUAACUUCGGGAAACCGUAGCUAAUACCGGAUAAUAUUUUGCACCGCAUGGUUCAAAAGUGGAAGACGGUCUUGCUGUCACUUAUAGAUGGAUCCGCGCUGCAUUAGCUAGUUGGUAAGGUAACGGCUUACCAAGGCAACGAUGCAUAGCCGACCUGAGAGGGUGGUCGGCCACACUGGAACUGAGACACGGUCCAGACUCCUACGGGAGGCAGCAGUAGGGAAUCUUCCGCAAGGGGCGAAAGCCUGACGGAGCAACGCCGCGUGAGUGAUGAAGGUCUUCGGAUCGUAAAACUCUGUUAUUAGGGAAGAACAUAUGUGUAAGUAACUGUGCACAUCUUGACGGUACCUAAUCAGAAAGCCACGGCUAACUACGUG